CAGGUCCAUUCUCGAUUUUCAACAAACUCUUUCCAGGUGAUGGUCUUCUAAAAUGCAAAGAACUAGGCUUGUCAAAGAAUGAGAUGAAGAAGCUUCUACCCAUCAUUGAUGCCAACUCUUCUAAUUCAGAAGCAUUUGAUGGCGUCUUGGAGCUUCAAGUUCGUGCUGGCAGAAGUCUGCCUGAAGCUAUCAUGAUGAUGAUACUUGAGGUGUGGCAAAAUGUUAAAAACAUGGAUCAUGAUAGAAAGGCCUUGUACGGAUAUUUUUCAGCUCUUAUGGAGCCAUGAGAUGGACCUGCACUUAUAUCAUUUACUGAUGGCCGCUAUCUUGGAGCGACAUUGGACCAGAAUGGAUUGCGCUCCGGAUGCUUUUACAUCACACAUAGUAGACGCAUGAUCAUGGCCAGUGAGGUUGGUGUUAUAGACAUCUGCCAGGAGAUGUGGCUAGGAAAGGAAGACAUUUGAUCGGUCCAGAAGGGGACCUUACUGAAAUAGUUCAUGUGGAAGGCUAUGUGGCAGUUCAUGUGCAUUUGUAUUUUGUUUUGAAAACUUUAAAUAGACCAUUAAUUGUUUUGUUGAUAUUGUGUUGAUUGUUGUCUUGAUGAAUGUUAAAUGGGUGAAAUAUGCACAGGCUCAAUCAUUUGUUGAUUAUGA